rnacentral:rRNA from 1 species
UACGUAGGGUGCGAGCGUUGUCCGGAAUUAUUGGGCGUAAAGAGCUUGUAGGCGGUUUGUCGCGUCUGCUGUGAAAAUCCGGGGCUCAACCCCGGACUUGCAGUGGGUACGGGCAGACUGGAGUGUGGUAGGGGAGAUCGGAAUUCCUGGUGUAGCGGUGAAAUGCGCAGAUAUCAGGAGGAACACCGGUGGCGAAGGCGGAUCUCUGGGCCGAUACUGACGCUGAGGAGCGAAAGUGUGGGGAGCGAACAGG